rnacentral:rRNA from 1 species
GGGGCAUCAGGAAGAAAGCUUGCUUUCUUUGCUGGCGACCGGCGCACGGGUGAGUAACACGUAUCCAACCUGCCCUUUACUCGGGGAUAGCCUUUCGAAAGAAAGAUUAAUACCCGAUAGCAUAAUGAUUCCGCAUGGUUUCAUUAUUAAAGGAUUCCGGUAAAGGAUGGGGAUGCGUUCCAUUAGGUUGUUGGUGAGGUAACGGCUCACCAAGCCUUCGAUGGAUAGGGGUUCUGAGAGGAAGGUCCCCCACAUUGGAACUGAGACACGGUCCAAACUCCUACGGGAGGCAGCAGUGAGGAAUAUUGGUCAAUGGGCGUUAGCCUGAACCAGCCAAGUAGCGUGAAGGAUGAAGGCUCUAUGGGUCGUAAACUUCUUUUAUAUAAGAAUAAAGUGCAGUAUGUAUACUGUUUUGUAUGUAUUAUAUGAAUAAGGAUCGGCUAACUCCGUGCCAGCAGCCGCGGUAAUACGGAGGAUCCGAGCGUUAUCCGGAUUUAUUGGGUUUAAAGGGAGCGUAGGUGGACUGGUAAGUCAGUUGUGAAAGUUUGCGGCUCAACCGUAAAAUUGCAGUUGAUACUGUCAGUCUUGAGUACAGUAGAGGUGGGCGGAAUUCGUGGUGUAGCGGUGAAAUGCUUAGAUAUCACGAAGAACUCCGAUUGCGAAGGCAGCUCACUGGACUGCAACUGA